GUCCUUGUUGAUUAGUGGUUAGAUCAUCACGUUGUGGUAACAUUAACCCGUGACGAUGCAGGCUCGACUCCUGCCUGGGACA